rnacentral:rRNA from 1 species
CCCUUAGACGUUCUGGGCCGCACGCGCGCUACACUGACGAAGGCAACGAGCUUUCCUUUACCGAAAGGUACGGGUAAUCUUUUGAAACUUCGUCGUGCUGGGGAUAGAUCCUUGCAAUUUUUGAUCUUAAACGAGGAAUGCCUAGUAAGCGCAAGUCAUCAACUUGCGUUGAUUACGUCCCUGCCCUUUGUACACACCGCCCGUCGCUACUACCGAUUGAAUGGUUUAGUGAGGCCUUCGGAUCCGCGACUCGUUUUGUGGAGAAGUUGGACAAACUCAGUCAUUUAGAGGAAGUAAAAGUCGUAACA